ACUUCAAAAAUGAUUCUUCCAGAAUGCUAAUGUAAAUCUAAUCAGCCUUUAGAAUUUAAAGGCUUAAAAAAGACUAAAGAAAAGUAACAACCAAAUGCAAUAUGUAGAACUUAUAUGGAGCCUGAUUCGAACAUCAAGUAUAAAGAGAUAUUUUUGAGAAAAUUGAGAAAUUUUAAAACAUGAAAUUAGUAUUAUAUGAUAUUGAAGACUGCUGCUUUUUCAAGACAUGUCCUCAAAUUUAUUUUACAUUCCUUCCAUACUAACUCUUCUCCUUGCAUGUAGACAGACUUGUGGCUGCUUUCAAUGACUUCUGAAAUUAGGUCAUUAAAAGUCAUACAUUCUUUGGCUAGUAAUCUUGGGUUACUCACUCAUGAGAGGCCAAGCUUUAUCUAGGAAGUUCAACUACUCGAGACUGUCAUGCUGGCUCCGGCACAAAUGAACCAUGUUCUUCGCCUAAGUCAUUUAUGGAACAUCUGCUUUCGGUUUAGCAUCAGUGUGCUAUUAAUCCAGGUCUUCCAAGAAACAAAUGCCAAGAUGGUAUUAAACAUGAAAUGAUUUUAAUUGUUUACAUGCCUGAAAGUAAAUAAAGAGGGUGCCAGCUAAGGCUGAAAAA
ensembl:lncRNA LINC00971 long intergenic non-protein coding RNA 971